rnacentral:lncRNA from 1 species
GAGGCAGGAGAAUGGCGUGAACCCGGGAGGUGGAGGUUGCAGUGAGUUGAGAUCGCGCCACUGCACUCCAGCCUGAGUGACAGCAAGACUCCGUCUCAAAAAAAAAGUGCAGUGUUAGGCUCACAGGAUCGCCGCCCCAACACUGGGCUCAAGGCAUUUGGGGAAGACUUUUUCAUGGAAGGGGAUGGGGUGUAGCUGUGUUAGAACUGGAUGCAGAUUGUCC